GAUCGUAUCGUCCAGUGGUUAAGACACCACAUUGUGGAUCAAGCCAGCUUUGCACUGGCCAACUUCGCUGUGGAGACCCGCGUUCAAUUCGCGGUACGGUCA